ACGAACGCUGGCGGCGUGCCUAAUGCAUGCAAGUCGGACGCACGCAGCUUCGGCUGCGUGAGUGGCGCACGGCUGAGGAACACGUGGGCACCUGCCCGACCGUGGGGAUAACGCCGCGAAAGCGGCGCUAAGCCCGCAUACGCUCACCUGUGGUGAGGAAAGCAGCUUGCUGCGGCGGUCGGAGGGGGCCUGCGGCCCAUCAGGUAGUUGGUGCGGGUAACGGCGCACCAAUCCGAUGACGGGUAGCUGGUCUGUGAGGACAACCAGCCAGACUGGGACUGAGAGACGGCCCAGACUCCUACGGGAAGGCAGCAGCAAGGAAUUUUCCCCAAUGGGCUCACGCCUGAGGGAGCAACGCCGCGUGCAGGACGACGGCCUUCGGGUUGUAAACUGCUUUUGGGAGGGACGAAACGGACGGUACCUUCCGAACAAGCCCCGGCUAACUCUGUGCCAGCAGCCGCGGUAAGACAGAGGGGGCAAGCGUUUGUCCGGACUGACUGGGCGUAAAGCGCGCGCAGGCGGGGACGGGCGUCGGUGCUGAAAGGGGUCCGCUUAACGGACCGAUGGGUGCCGAUACGCCGUUUCUGGAGCGCGGGCGAGGGUGGUGGAAUUGCCGGUGUAGUGGUGAAAUGCGUAGAGAUCGGCAGGAACACCCGUGGCGCAAGCGGCCACCUAGCCCGCGGCUGACGCUGAGGCGCGACAGCGUGGGGAGCGAACGGGAUUAGAUACCCCGGUAGUCCACGCCGGUAAACGAUGCCGACUCGGUAUCCGUGAGGCGAAUAGCCUCGGGGGUGCCCCAGCUUACGCGGUAAGUCGGCCGCCUGGGGACUACGAGCGCAAGCUUAAAAACUCAAAGGAAUUGACGGGGGCCCGCACAAGCAGCGGAGCGUGUGGUUUAAUUCGACGCAACGCGCACCACCUUACCCAGACUUGACAUGUGUCUGCAGGCCCGGUGAAGCGGGUAGCCUUCGAGGGUGACACACAGGUGCUGCAUGGCUGUCGUCAGCUCGUGUCGUGAGAUGUUGGGUUAGGUCCCGCAACGAGCGCAGCCCCUAUGGUCAGUUAUACGUGUCUGACCGGACUGCCCUUCGGGGAGGAAGGCGGGGAUGAAGUCAAGUCCGCAUGGCCUCACGUCUGGGGCGACACGCACGCUACAAUGGCCGCCGACAGCGCGGAGCGACCGAGUAAUCGGGAGCGAAUCGCCAAACGGCGCCCCAGUGCAGAUUGGGGGCUGCAACUCGCCCCCAUGAAGGCGGAGUUGCUAGUAACCGCGUAACAGCGAUGGCGCGGUGAAUACGUACCCGGGCCUUGUACACACCGCCCGUCACGUCAUGGGAGUUGCCAAGGCCUGAAGUCCGUGGGCCAACCCGCCUGAGGGUGGGGGGCAGCGGCCGAGGGCCGGGGGAGCGACUGGGACG
rnacentral:rRNA from 1 species